GACGAACGCUGGCGGCGUGCUUAACACAUGCAAGUCGAACGAAGUGGAGAACGGGUGAGUAACGCGUAAUCAACCUGCCCUUCAGAGGGGGACAACAGUUGGAAACGACUGCUAAUCCCGCAUACUGAAGGAGGGGAUUGCGUAUGAUUAGAUAGUUGAAGGGGUAAAGGCCCACCAAGGCGAUGAUCAGGAGCCGGUCGGAUAGUAUGAACGGCCACAUUUGGACUGAGACACGGCCCAGACUGCUACGGGAGGCAGCAGUGGGGAAGCUUCCGCAAUGGACGAAAGUCUGACGGCGAAACGCCGCGGGAGUGAUGACGGCCUUCGGGUUGUAAAGCUCUGUUAAUCGGGACGCGGUACCGGAAUAGAAAGCCACGGCUAACUACGUGCCAGCAGCCGCGGUAAUUC
rnacentral:rRNA from 1 species